rnacentral:rRNA from 1 species
UACGUAGGCAGCAAGCGUUGUUCGGAGUUACUGGGCGUAAAGGGUGUGUAGGCGGUUGGAUAAGUGUGGUGUGAAAUCUCCCGGCUUAACUGGGAGGGUGCGCUACAAACUGUCUGACUAGAGUGUGGGAUGGGUAAGUGGAAUUCCUGGUGUAGCGGUGAAAUGCGUAGAUAUCAGGAGGAACACCGGUGGCGAAGGCGGGUCUCUGGGCCGAUACUGACACUGAGGAGCGAAAGCGUGGGGAGCGAACAGG